UCGUCUAUUCUCAAUGUCCCUUUUGUUCUCACACUAUUCUCACGAUGUUCCAGCUAGUUCUUCCUCCUUCCUCCCCUUUCCCACCGCCAUUAUUUCUUGCAAAGCCACAGAAGCAGUUCCUUCUCCUUACAAGUUUGUGGAAUAUGGAAUUGUAAAUUAGAAGCAAAACAGAGGCAGAUAAUGCCCCCAUCCAUUCAUUUAGCUGCAAAAGAGAACAACUAAAACAGAGCAAGAAGCAGCCUGUUCCAUACCUACAGUGAAGAUGACAAAGUUAUUUAUCUCAUUCAAAUCAAGAACUACAAGAUGGAUUGCUAGUAUUAUCUAUGAACAAAUGACACACAUGUGCCGCAAAGUAUCUUCAUACAGUCAAACUGCAUCCACAAGACACUAAUGGUUCAAGUAGUAAGAAAUA